rnacentral:ncRNA from 1 species
CCUAGAGGACGACCUCUAGGACGACCUCAACGACGACUUUGAGGACGACCUCA